GGCUGAGUGCUUGCUGUCAAAAUCGCAAUGAUACAUAGGAGAUUAGCAUGGCCCUGCGUGAAGAUGACUCGCAAAUUUGAAGCAUUCCAUAUUUUA
rnacentral:snRNA from 1 species